CCUACGGGAGGCAGCAGUGGGGAAUAUUGCGCAAUGGGCGAAAGCCUGACGCAGCGACGCCGCGUGAGGGAUGAAGGUCUUCGGAUCGUAAACCUCUGUCAGCAGGGAAGUACGGUGACUGUGCUAAUCAGCAGUGAAUUGACGGUACCUGCAAAGGAAGCACCGGCUAACUCCGUGCCAGCAGCCGCGGUAAUACGGAGGGUGCGAGAGUUAAUCGGAUUUACUGGGCGUAAAGCGCUCGUAGGCGGUAUGUCAAGUCAAGGGGGAAAUCCCCGCGCUCAACGUGGGAACUGCCUUUGAAACUGGCAGACUGGAGUGUGUGAGAGGUGAGUGGAAUUCGUGGUGUAGCGGUGAAAUGCGUAGAUAUCACGAAGAACACCGGUUGCGAAGGCGACUAACUGGCACGUAACUGACGCUGAGGAGCGAAAGCGUGGGUAGCAAACAGGAUUAGAUACCCCUGUAGUC
rnacentral:rRNA from 1 species